UAAGAGGGAACCCGGUGCAAGUCCGGGACUGCCCCGCAGCGGUGAGUGGGAACGACCGCCGUCACCACGCACUGGACCGCGAGGUCUGGGAAGCGACGGCCAGUAGGAGACCGGCACGCCCGGUCGCGCCCGCGAGUCCGAAGACCU
rnacentral:ncRNA from 15 species